GCCUGAGUGGCUCAGUGGGUUGAGCGUCUGACUUUGGCUCAGGUCAUGAUCUCACAGUUCGUGAGUUCGAGCCCCACGUUGGGCU
rnacentral:tRNA from 1 species